GGGUUGUGAGGUUAAGCGACUAAGCGUACACGGUGGAUGCCCUGGCAGUCAGAGGCGAUGAAGGACGUGCUAAUCUGCGAUAAGCGCCGGUAAGGUGAUAUGAACCGUUAUAACCGGCGAUUUCCGAAUGGGGAAACCCAGUGUGAUUCGUCACACUAUCAUUAACUGAAUCCAUAGGUUAAUGAGGCGAACCGGGGGAACUGAAACAUCUAAGUACCCCGAGGAAAAGAAAUCAACCGAGAUUCCCCCAGUAGCGGCGAGCGAACGGGGAGGAGCCCAGAGCCUGAAUCAGCAUGUGUGUUAGUGGAAGCGUCUGGAAAGGCGCGCGAUACAGGGUGACAGCCCCGUACACAAAAGCGCAUGUGUUGUGAGCUCGAUGAGUAG
rnacentral:rRNA from 1 species